rnacentral:rRNA from 1 species
UCGGGAAUUUUGGGCAAUGGGCGCAAGCCUGAUCCAGCCAUGCCGCGUGAGUGACGAAGGCCUUAGGGUUGUAAAGCUCUUUUGGCGGGGAAGAUAAUGACGGUACCCGCAGAAUAAGCUCCGGCUAACUUCGUGCCAGCAGCCGCGGUAAUACGAAGGGAGCUAGCGUUGUUCGGAAUCACUGGGCGUAAAGCGCACGUAGGUGGGCAGUUAAGUCAGGGGUGAAAGCCCGAGGCUCAACCUCGGAAUUGCCUCUGAUACUGGCUGUCUAGAGUUCGAGAGGGGUGAGUGGAAUUCCUAGUGUAGAGGUGAAAUUCGUAGAUAUUAGGAAGAACACCGGUGGCGAAGGCGGCUCACUGGCUCGAUACUGACACUGAGGUGCGAAAGCGUGGGGAGCAAACAGGAUUAGAUACCCCCGUAGUCCCUGAGCGGGCUGGCAAGGCGCAU